CGUAAAAUUGCAGUUGAUACUGUCAGUCUUGAGUACAGUAGAGGUGGGCGGAAUUCGUGGUGUAGCGGUGAAAUGCUUAGAUAUCACGAAGAACUCCGAUUGCGAAGGCAGCUCACUGGGCUGCAACUGACACUGAUGCUCGAAAGUGUGGGUAUCAAACAGGAUUAGAUACCCUGGUAGUCCACACAGUAAACGAUGAAUACUCGCUGUUUGCGAUAUACAGUAAGCGGCCAAGCGAAAGCAUUAAGUAUUCCACCUGGGGAGUACGCCGGCAACGGUGAAACUCAAAGGAAUUGACGGGGGCCCGCACAAGCGGAGGAACAUGUGGUUUAAUUCGAUGAUACGCGAGGAACCUUACCCGGGCUUAAAUUGCAGUGGAAUGAUGUGGAAACAUGUCAGUGAGCAAUCACCGCUGUGAAGGUGCUGCAUGGUUGUCGUCAGCUCGUGCCGUGAGGUGUCGGCUUAAGUGCCAUAACGAGCGCAACCCUUAUCUUCAGUUACUAACAGGUCAUGCUGAGGACUCUGGAGAGACUGCCGUCGUAAGAUGUGAGGAAGGUGGGGAUGACGUCAAAUCAGCACGGCCCUUACGUCCGGGGCUACACACGUGUUACAAUGGGGGGUACAGAAGGCAGCUAGCGGGUGACCGUAUGCUAAUCCCAAAAUCCUCUCUCAGUUCGGAUCGAAGUCUGCAACCCGACUUCGUGAAGCUGGAUUCGCUAGUAAUCGCGCAUCAGCCACGGCGCGGUGAAUACGUUCCCGGGCCUUGUACACACCGCCCGUCAAGCCAUGGGAGCCGGGGGUACCUGAAGUACGUAACCGCAAGGAUCGUCCUAGGGUAA
rnacentral:rRNA from 1 species